rnacentral:rRNA from 1 species
AGGGGGACAACAGUUGGAAACGACUGCUAAUACCGCAUGAAGCAUAGGGGUCGCAUGAUUCUUAUGCCAAAGAUUUAUCGCUUCAAGAUGGCCUCGCGUCUGAUUAGCUAGUUGGCGGGGUGACGGCCCACCAAGGCGACGAUCAGUAGCCGGACUGAGAGGUUGAACGGCCACAUUGGGACUGAGAUACGGCCCAGACUCCUACGGGAGGCAGCAGCGGGGAAUAUUGGGCAAUGGGCGCAAGCCUGACCCAGCAACGCCGCGUGAAGGAAGAAGGCUUUCGGGUUGUAAACUUCUUUUAAGAGGGAAGAGCAGAAGACGGUACCUCUAGAAUAAGCCACGGCUAACUACGUGCCAGCAGCCGCGGUAAUACGUAGGUGGCAAGCGUUGUCCGGAUUUACUGGGUGUAAAGGGCGUGCAGCCGGGUCUGCAAGUCAGAUGUGAAAUCCAUGGGCUCAACCCAUGAACUGCAUUUGAAACUGUAGAUCUUGAGUGUCGGAGGGGCAAUCGGAAUUCCUAGUGUAGCGGUGAAAUGCGUAGAUAUUAGGAGGAACACCAGUGGCGAAGGCGGAUUGCUGGACGAUAACUGACGGUGAGGCGCGAAAGUGUGGGGAGCAAACAGGAUUAGAUACCCUGGUAGUCCACACUGUAAACGAUGAA